UCUUCCCCUUGGGCUCUAUGGCAGAACCUGCAGGCUAGAGCGUCUCACGGGAGUUCUUCCCCCUAUGGACUCUAUGGCAGAGGCUGCAGGCUAGACCGUCCCGCAGGGGGAGGGGCUCUUCCCACUUGGACUCUAUGGCAGAAGCUGCAGGCUAGCGCAGCCUAUCCAGAAAAAAGGUUUCUUCCCCACCCCCUCCCCCUGUAGCCGACGGCCUGAAGCUAGAGUGUCUCCCUCCCUAAGCCCCGCCCCCUUGGAGGUCUGAGGCUCUGGGGGUGCUGCCAGGCCUUGGCCCAUGGACUUGGGCGGUUCCAGAGAGGGCGGCGCACAGUGAUGGGGGGAGGCCUGGGGGCCCUGGGCGCGUAUCCCGUGAUGCUCAGUCAGCUCUGCAGUUGGCUGAGCCGCUCUGUGAGAUCUUUCCCAGUGAAUGGUGGGAGAACGUGUCUGUCUCGUGUGGCUGCAGGGGCGGUGGUCGAAGUGAACCAGUUCCAGCCAGGCACCCCCCGGUUGGCAGCUGUGGCCUUCGUGGUGUGUGGGGGGCAAGGCCUGGAUCCUCCCCUGAACAGUGGCUUGCACCACACGCGGGCACCCGCGCUGCUCCCACUGGGGAACGGGAGGCAGGUGCAGGGCGCGAGACAUGGUGGAGAACGUUUCAGCAGCAGCUUGGUGCCGGGGAAUUACAGACCAGUCAGCUUCACUUCGGUACCCGGACAGAUAGUGGAGCACAUAAUUAAGCAAUCGGUUUGCAGACGCAUAGAUGAUAAUAAGGAAGGAAUCUCCAGGAAAGUUCAUAUCAUCCAGUGCCACCACAGCCUGAAAUAGUGCAAAGACCAGCACUAAUUGUGACAGUGCCCAUAUCAUGCUGGGUGCCAACCAAAGACACAGAGUGUUCCAUGCUCUUAAGUGUUCACAGUUAAAGGAGACAUAAAGCAAACAGGGGCUAGAGCAGGGUAAAAGUCAGCUGCAAUUUCCCCUUUCUAAAUUCUUCCCAUUGUUGUAUAGAGUCAUUUGUUUCAAGAUCCAAUAAAUACCACACUGAGUUUCAGUAGCUCAGACACUUUUUUGCAGGAUCAAUUUGUACCCUCAAAAGUAUGCUCGUGUUGUUCAUGUCUGCAGAUACAAAUCUCUAUCUGUGGCACGUGCAUGGCUUCCCAUCACUGUAGUAUCUGAGAAUCUCACUAUCUUUAGUUUAUUUUUCCUCUCUUUCCCCCCACGUCCCCAUGUGUGAGGCAUUUCAGAGCUAUCUUUCCCGUUGUACUGAUGGUGAACCAAGGCACAGAGAGACUACAUGACUUGUUCAAGGUCACCUAGGAAGCCUGUGGCAGACCAGGGACUUGAACAAAGGGCUCCCAUGUCUUAGGUGAGGGUCUGAGCCACUGGACUAUCUUUCCCUUCAGUAGCUGCAUCUCCUACCUGAUACCAAGAUAACAUACACCUUAGAAACACUGUGACAUUCUGGCGUGUAAUCCAGACCAGUGAGAGGCUGUGUCACCCCUGCCCUGCAAACGUGGGUCCCUCACUAUGCUUUGCUGCUGUAGCUCCUACCUGGGCAACUCACAGUCAAACAGCCUGCAGGUCACACCCUGAGUGUCUGUAUAUAGCUGCAGCCCACCAGUCACACAUCAGUCACACUCUGGCUUCCAUCAAGCCUUGGUUACCACUUGCAGGGUGACUCCAACACACUCCCACUUCUGGAUUUCCCCCAAAAAUGUGUGUUCUGCACUGUCCAGCCUUCUCCUGGACAGUCCAGAUAUAUUAGGUCUGUUGCCCUCUAAGGGGAUCAAUAUAAAACAGUUUGCUACCAGAAAUGGAGUUCAGUUUAAAGACAUAGUUCAGUUUAAAGACAACACUGGUCUGUUCUUAAUUAAAGAAUGAAACAAGUUUAUUUAACUGCAAAGAGGGAGAUGUUAAGUCAUUACAAACAUAAGGCAUUAAAGUCAGAAAUGGUUACAAGAGAAAUAAAGAUAAAAUCCUUCCUAGGACUAAAACAUAACAAGCUAGACUUGGGUCAAGAUAAAAUUUUCACCACAUGCUCCCAGCAACAGGGCUGACUAAAUUUCAGGUCAGGAUCUCUCCCAAAGUCAAAUGGGCUUGUUUCUUUUGUUGUCUUAGGUGAAAGAACGAGAGAUGGAUAGGGAGAGAGAACUUGGGAUGUUUUUGUCUGUCCCUUUUAUAGUUCAGUCACCCUUUGAAAUGCAUUUUCCUGAGGGCUGUGCCUAGAUAAAGUUCAUUCCUCCUAUGUGGAUGGAGACAAGCAAUCUGAUGGUGAAAGAGGGUCCAUGCUGUUGUUUGCUAAGAUGCUGAUCUGUUUGUUCCUGCCCUCACUCUUUGCCAAAGAAUUGGCCACUUGACUGGUGAUUGUCCAUCAGUUUUGAUGACCACUUGGCUAGAUGCAUCAGCUUGUCCUUUGUCUUUAAGAAACAGGUUCACUCCCUUCCCAGAAUUGUCUAGCAGACGCACUUCAGCCAUGAUUUCAGCUUAAGUCCAUAACUGUAUUACACACUUUUCAUCAUAUUAUUGACCAGUGAGUUAUUAGUUUUCAGAUGAUACCUCAUAAGGCAUAUUUUGUACAAAGAUUGUUACAGUAAGGUGUAGGGUGUGAACAGAGGGGUGCAUUCCAUCACAAAUACCUAGGACGGAUGCAAUGACACAGAUCAAGCAGUUAGGCCUGGCAUUAAGGUUUGUGCCCACCAUUCAUUUUGGACACACUUCUUGCUGUACAAAUUAUGUAGACACUUUCUUCUUUUCCUUGCCUCCCUUCACACAAAUAAAUGUGUCCAUUUAUCAAAA